AGGGUAUCUAUCAUACACACUUCUUCUGGGCCCUCAUCUUCUUCAGGAUGGAUGUGCUUUUGACAUAGAUGGAAGAUGUUGAGUUCCAAUGUCAUAUUCCCAAAAGUGAGUUGCAUGACCCCAUUUCUACAAUUGAUGAUUGCAUUGGAUGUUGCAAGGAAUGGUCUUCCAAGGAUGAUUGGAACAUAGUUGAUCCCUUUGACAAUGGGAUCAGUAUCAAGCACCACAAAAUCUACUGGAUAGUAGAAUUUGUCAACUUGAACCAAUACAUCUCUAUUACCCCCCUGGGGAUUUUCACUGAUCGGUCUGCUAAGGAUAGGGUGAUCGAUGUUGGCUUAAGUUCUCCCAACCCCAGCUCCUUGUAUACAGAGUAUGGAAGCAAGUUAACACUUGCCCCCAAAUCAAGCAAUGUCUUCUCC
rnacentral:lncRNA from 1 species